rnacentral:rRNA from 1 species
AUUUUAAAAAUAAUUAAUUAAAUAUAAAUUAUAUAUAAAAAAAUAAUAAAAUAAUAAAAAAAAUUAAUCUAUUAAUUAAAUUAAUAAAAUAUUUUUUAAUAGCGUGCCAGCAAAAGCGGUUAAACGAUUAACUUAAAUUAAUUUUUUAAUUUAAACUAAAAAAAUAACAAAAGAAUUAAAAAAAUAAUAAAAUAUAUUUUUAAAUAAUAGUUUUUAAAGUUAAAAAUCAAAAUUUAAUGAAUUGGAUUAGAUACCCAAAUAAAAAAACUUUUUAGUAUUAAACUAAUAUAGUUAAACUAGAAAUAUUUGGCGGUAAAAUAUUUUAAUUAAAGGGUCUUGAUUUUUAAUAGAAAAUACACAAUAAAAAAAACUUUAAUUAUAAAUUUAUAUAUCUCCGUAAAAAAAAUAUUGUUUUUAAAAUAAAAAAAAUUUAUUUUUACAGGUCAAGAUAUAAUUUAAAUUAAAGAAAAAUUUAGACACAAAAAAAAAAUAAAAUAUAUAAGAAUUUAAAAGUAAUUUUUUUUUUUAAAAAAAAAUGAAAUUAUUAUUUUAUGUACAUAUUGCCCAUCACUUUCAUUUUAAAAUGAAAUAAGUUGAAACAUAGUAGAAAUAUAAGAAUAUGUUUCUAA